ACCAGACCUAAACCAGGCCUAAACCAGGCCUAAACCAGGCCUAAACCAGACCUAAACCAGACCUAAACCAGGCCUAAACCAGGCCUAAACCAGGUCUAAACCAGGCCUAAACCAGGUCUAAACCAGGCCUAAACCAGGCCUAAACCAGGCCUAAACCAGGCCUAAACCAGGCCUAAACCAGGUCUAAACCAGGCCUAAACCAGGCCUAAACCAGACCUAAACCAGACCUAAACCAGGCCUAAACCAGGCCUAAACCAGGUCUAAACCAGGCCUAAACCAGGUCUAAACCAGGCCUAAACCAGGCCUAAACCAGGCCUAAACCAGGCCUAAACCAGGCCUAAACCAGGCCUAAACCAGAU
ensembl:lncRNA